rnacentral:lncRNA from 1 species
CUAGGCUCAGUGCAUUACCAGCAAGCAUCCCAGGCAGGGCACUCAUUUUGCAAGCUCGCAGAAAGUGUGGUCAUGCCAACUCUGAAUUCUCUGACAUUGGAAUAGAUCGAAAGCAUCCUACAAUCGCCGCCCGCCAGGCGCCCACGUGACCUCGUUGUCUUUGCGGCAUGUGCAAACUUGUUCACAGCUGUGGCUGUUGUCAUCACUUCAGCGGGAUUAUGUGCACUGUUGGCACUUCAUGUGCCGGGUUUAAUUGCCAUGUAAAAUGCCUUCAGAAAGAUUAUACUAUGAUUCAGCAUUGAAAGGAAAACUUACGGUGUAUUCAGAAAGAACAAACCAAGUGCUUUACAACCUUGCUGCUCAAAGUGUGGUCCACAGACCAGCAGCAUCGCCUGGGAGAUGGAUCGAAAUUCUGAAUUUCAGGCUCUGCCCCAAACCUACUGAAUCAGGAUCUGCAUUUUAACAAAGUCCCAUUGAUUUGCAGGCAUAUUAAAGUCUGAGUGCCCUGCUUUAGUGAACAUAAAGUGAAGCUAAUUCAUACCGAAUUAUCGAGCUAUAAAAAGGGAAUGCCCAGCAGAAGCCAAGCAGUGCAGCUGAAGGCAGGGGAAAUUGUCAAGCCCUUUAGAAUCCAUGAAAGAAAUUCCAACGCAACAAAGAGAGCAGACACCUUCAUAGAACUCCCUCAUCCCACACAAGACGCAAGUCAGAAAAAACAAAUCUCUACUCAAUUGUCCUGCUGUCUGUGACCUGGGAAAAGAGACUGUCUGAGGGAUGAGUUGGGUCUCUUGUAACUGCAACAAAGUGAAUGUCUCCGGAUGUUCUAAAAGACCCUUCUCAGAGGCCCCAGGAACCUUCCUGCAAACCAAGACUUCCCUCCAGGCACCUUGUUUACCCCGAUGUGACCAAUUCUAUCUAUGCAGAAGCUGCCUAUCCAGUUUUUAAUAUAAGUUGGGCAGAUGUCAGCUCAAGAAGAAGGAAUGAGGGGAGGCACUCAAAGGCGACUCUCACCAAAAAGGAUUUCUUCGUAUUCUGACUUCCAGAGUACAGUCGCUAUCUAUAAAAUGUAAGUCAGUAUCUUUUAUCACGCUUCAUCCUAGGAGGUGCGUGCACUAUGGUUCUCAGUUUUGCAGAUGAGGACAUUGUGGCUUGGAGAGCUUAGGGCAUUUAAACAGCAAAAAUGGCAGAGUCCCUGAAAGAUGUGCCCGGGUAUUUAGACCACAUCUUAAGGGAUUUCUCAAAGAUGCCACUGCCUUCCUGAAGGAAACCUAGGCAAACCCUGCUGGAGGCAUUGCUCGUAAAUCACUGUCAAUUUUCUUUAUUCCCCUCUCCUGCCCAUCUCUGCCACAAUGCAGUGACAAAAGACCGUGUCUUGGUACACUGCAUGUCACUCCCUGAGAUUUGCUGACACCUGCAGACAAAUGAGAGGAUUGCACUGAGUUUGCAUUAAAAGGUAUUAGAGGCCAAGCGCCGUGGCUCACGCCUGUAAUCCCAGCACUUUGGGAGGCCAAGGUGAGUGGAUCACUUGAGCUCAGGAGUUUGAGACCAGCCUGGCCAACAUGGUGAAACCCCGUCUCUACUAACAAUACAAAAAUUAGCCAGGCGUGGUGGCGCGCGCCUGUAGUCCCAGCUACUUAGGAGGCUGAGGCAGGAGAAUUGCUUGAACCUGGGAGGUGGAGGUUGCAGUGAACCAAGAUUGCACCACUGCACUCCAGCUUGGGCAACAACACAGCUGAGACUCUGUCUGAAAAAAAAAAAAAGUAUCAGAGCUGCUUGCAGGAAACCCCAGACCCAGGAAAGGCCGUAUCAUCUCUGGAGAAGAUGAUGCAGACCAGGACAGAGAGCACUAGGAGUAGGUCUGCAGAGAUCCGAGCAGCCCCUCUGGUCCAGGCCAUGCGGUCAGGUGCACGGACUCCCGUUGCACCUUAUUGCCCUGAGGCGUGGUCUGAUGAGAGGCCUCAGGUGUUCUUUAUUCUGGGCAACGUGUAAUCAGUGAUUAUUUCUAACAAUGCAAAUAGUAAAACUACCUUAGCCACUCACUGGGUAACCCUGAGCAACUCCUUUAGUUAGGAGUCAGCCUAACUAAAUUCUUAUUGAUAUAAUGUAUAUUUAUAUUAAUUUUUUAAAAACCAUAAACCCAUACACAAAACCAAAAUCUCUGAUAACAAUUGGGCCUGAAGUCGACUAUGAGGUCUGGGCUUUUGAGAGAAUGAAGUACCAACUCUUUCCGGUAGGUGGAGCCAAAAGAUCACACCUGAAGCGCAUUUCAGUUCAGCCCUCCCAGGCGGCAGGGCGGGGUACCAGCAUUUUCUAGCUCUUAAUAACCUUUACAUUGUCGGGGGAUCAGUGAAGAAGGUUAUAAAGAGCUUGUAUUCAUCCACCCCAUUCAUAUGUCCCCCACAUUAGCAGUCCUUUUAUUCAUAACGUACUCUCCCACCACGACCACCACAUUAUGAAUAAAUGAGACCUACCACCUGCAAUGCCUGGCCUUUCUCCCUGUAGCCAUCACCUCUCCAAUCUUUCCCCAAUCUCAGGCCUAAAAUCGUCAAAUCAGGGUAUCCAAAUGCCAAAAUGUUCCCCCUCACAGAUGCUACUUGUCUCUCAACCUUGCUUAUGAAAAAGGAAAGAAACUAAUGUCCGUAGAGAAUAGACUAUAUUUCAGGCAUUUCCACAUGUCACUUGAUCCCAAUAAUAAUGGCAAUCAUCGUAAUAGCUGCUGUUUUGGGACAUUUACUAUAAGCCAAGUGCCAUGCUAAGUACUUUUAUAUAUUAUCUCAUUUAAUUCUCUUAGGAUGACUGUAAAAUGGCAUUAUCAUACCCACUUCACAGUUCUGGAAACUGAAAUUCAGAGAGCUUGGUAAGCACAGGAUAGCGCAUGUUGGAAGGCACAUCAGGAUUAAUUUACAUUUCAUGAGCAUCUCGCCCCUACUUCUGUUGUUGUAUAGUCUCUCACUUACACCAGGGCUCUUUCUCUGGGAACACAGGGGCAAGAGGGGGAGGCCAGUUGUUGGGGAAGAGGAGAAAGGGAAGAGGACUGGCGCUCCUUCCACUAUGAAGGGGAGAUAUGCUCAGGGUACCCUGUUCUAGACCCUAUCUAGAUGAGACCCUUGACCUGCAUCACCUUAUCUCCCUCCUCCUUACCAAAAUAACCUAAAACUUUUCCCAUAGAAACAAUAGUUUUGGUUUUUUGUUUUAUUUUGUUUUGUUUUGUUUUUGUUGUUUUUUUGCUAUAGCCCUAAUAUCAUUAUUCAACUACUUAAUAGGUUAAAUAGGAUUUUUCAAAUACACUGG